rnacentral:rRNA from 1 species
GUGCCAGCCGCCGCGGUAAUACAGAGGGUGCAAGCGUUGUCCGGAAUCACUGGGCGUAAAGGGCGCGUAGGCGGCUGGGUAAGUCGGUGGUGAAAUCCCGUGGCUCAACUGCGGGGCUGCCGUCGAGACUGCUCGGCUUGAGCGCGGUAGAGGCUGGUGGAAUUCCCGGUGUAGCGGUGGAAUGCGUAGAGAUCGGGAGGAACAUCGGUGGCGAAGGCGGCCAGCUGGGCCGUUGCUGACGCUGAGGCGCGAAAGCGUGGGGAGCAAACAGGAUUAGAAACCCUUGUAGUCC